AUCGCUUCUCGGCCUUUUGGCUAAGAUCAAGUGUAAAAAUGGAUUAAUGCACAGAUAAUCCACAAUAAAAUUAUUUUUAUCUCCAAUUUUAGCCCUCUUAAUCAAUCAACUUACAAGAACUGUUAAAAAGCAAUGAGUUUUUGACUUAUUUGAGUGCAAAACUUUUCCUUCCUCUGC
rnacentral:snRNA from 1 species